rnacentral:lncRNA from 1 species
GGGAGCGAGAUACGUAGGUAAGUGCAGACAUGUUGACACAGGAAUGAAAUUUUGGGCAUGUAUGGAGGAGCUGCUAGAAACUCACCACGUAAGAUCUCCCUUGCAGGCUUUGAAGAGACUAGAGAUGAUGACGUUGGUUGCAAAACACUGUCACCAGGUCUGUUAGUUAUGGAAAGGUUGGAAAUGGGCUCGCCGUCGAUGUUCAAGGACGGCUCAGAGUCAUUACUGGGUUGUCUAGAGCCGGGAGGACUCGGCCUUGACGUAGAAGAAGAAGAAGAAGAAACACGAAACUUUGAGAAAGA